GGGUGGUCUGUUAGAUGCACUUGGAUUACCGGCCAGUGAGCUGUCAAACUAAACUGCCUUACCCAGCCAGCAUCUUGCUUUUUACGCGCGGUAAUAAAGCGCACAGACGCGCGUCUGUAGGCAACGUCCGUUUUAGUUUUUAUUGUGCUAAUAAAAGUAUAUCCGCUGCAACGACCCUUAUUUGACAGACGGAUCGGCCUAAGUGAGUGGCAGUUGAUUGAUUUUUAUUGUGAUAUUUUUUUUUACAUCCAUGGAUGGAGAGAAAAAAAUAAACUUGUGAAUUGAGGUGAUAUUUAAUAGGAGCCGGGCACGAUGCGAAUCAGUUUCCGAGGACGCUUGGUCAGUGCAGAGCUCUGCUGAACGACUGCAUUGAUUUUGUGGAUUUCCUUCUAUUUACUAUCAGAUUAUUCUGGAAGGAGGCAACUAUGAACUUCAUCAGCAUCCUUUGGUUCCUGAUGCCAUUGAUGGGGCAGAGCAGGGCGUCAGCCAUCGACGAUCCUGCCCCAGACGCCUCAGACGGGCCUGGGUGGGGGAACCUAGAGGAGGGCCAAGGCCAUGCAGAGAGCCAGGGUCAACAGCGCUGUCUGCAGUCGGCCAAUGAAGAGCGACCGUCCAAGCCCA